GCCGGGCAUGGUGGCGCAUGCCUGUAGUUCCAGCUACUUGGAAGGCUGAGGUGCGAGGAUUACUUGAGCCCAGGAGGUUGACCUAGGCUGCAGUGAGCCGGAAUCACACCACUGCACUCUAGCCUGGGCAACAAAGUGAGACCCUGUCCCCA
rnacentral:SRP_RNA from 1 species